UACGGAGGAGGCAAGCGUUAUCCGGAAUUAUUGGGCGUAAAGCGUCCGUAGAUGGUCGUUUCAAGUCUGCUGUCAAAGACCGGGGCUUAACCCCAGAAAGGCGGUGGAAACUGAACAGCUAGAGAGAGGUAGGGGUAGAGGGAAUUCCCAGUGUAGCGGUGAAAUGCGUAGAGAUCGGGAAGAACAUCGGUGGCGAAAGCGCUCUGCUGGACUGCAACUGACACUCAGGGACGAAAGCUAGGGGAGCGAAUGGG
rnacentral:rRNA from 1 species